rnacentral:rRNA from 1 species
UACGGGGGGGGUAAGCGUUGUUCGGAAUUACUGGGCGUAAAGGGCUCGUAGGCGGCCAACUAAGUCAGACGUGAAAUCCCUCAGCUUAACUGGGGAACUGCGUCUGAUACUGGAUGGCUUGGAUUCGGGAGAGGAAUGCGGAAUUCCAGGUGUAGCGGUGAAAUGCGUAGAUAUCUGGAGGAACACCGGUGGCGAAGGCGGCAUUCUGGACCGACAUUGACGCUGAGGCACGAAAGCGUGGGGAGCAAACAGG